AGAAUUUUGUUAAACAAGAAAAAAGAAAAAGGGAGAGAUGAAGAGUUGCUUGAUACUUAAAUCCCUUGUGUUGGUUGCUGACAGCAGUUGCCUAGUAUCACCUCAUUCUUUUCUGGACAGAACUUCGGGAUUUUGUUCAGGGUCUCAGCAGUUCUGUGACUAUUGCCUGAGGAACACAGAAGGAGUGCCAGAUAACCAUACCACAUGGAUAGCAUCUCUUUCGUUGGAUGCGGGUGCACAUUAAGUGAAAGAGGUUUUAGAGGUGAGCAAGGAUUCUAUAGGACAAAAUUUCAUAAUAUUAAAUAAUACAAUUAACCAUUAGUAUUCAACUUGAAAAUGCAUUUUGGCACUCUCAUAUAUACAGCAGAACUCCCAUUUAUAAAACCAUCAGAUAUUGUGAGACUUAUUUACUCUCACGAGAACAGUAUGGGG
rnacentral:lncRNA from 10 species